rfam:Triticum aestivum genome assembly, contig: Triticum_aestivum_CS42_TGACv1_scaffold_485580_6AS
GUGAGGAUGAAGAGGAAAAUCAUUCGGAUUCCCAUUGAUUUGUAAUAAACAUGAGAUCUUUAACCAGCUACUUCUGACUCGU